CUCAACCCCCAUCCCAACUUCCCCUUCCCCAUACCCACCUCCGAUGCUCAGCGACGGCGGAAACCCGUGCACCCUGCCCACCCGAUGACUGCCACAGCAACUGCGACUCCUCGUCCUCCGUCGUUGACUACGGGGAUGAUUGCGUCAUGACGUCGUCGUUUUGGAGUCUCUCCUUUGUCGUUCGAUCUCAACCUGUCGCUGCCCCCGAUGAUGGACGACCUCGAUUUAUUCAAAUUCGGUGAGGUUUGUGGGUCCGAUCGCACCUGAAAUCAGCCAAUGCAAGCUCCUGACGUUCGUCGAUCUCAGCCGAAACGAGCUCGUCGGCGAGAUUCGGAAGGAGAUUACAGGCAUGCGGAUAUUGAAUUACCUCAACCUCUCGAGAAACCAUCUGGUGGGUAGCAUCCCUUCGUCCAUAUCCACAAUGCAAAGCUUGACAUCUGUAGACUUUUUCUAUAACAAUCUUUCGGGUUUGGUUCCGGGUACUGGUCAGUUCAGUUACUUCAAUUACACUUCCUUUCUGGGCAAUCCUGAUCUUUGCGGUCCAUAUUUGGUUCUGUGCAAAGAUGGGGUUGCCAAUGGCACCCACCAACCACAUGUCAAAGGGUCCCUUACUGCUUCUCUGAAGCUAUUGCUUGUUAUUGGUUUGCUUUUGUGCUCCAUCAUAUUCGCUGUUGCUGCAAUCAUCAAAGCCCGGUCUUUGAAGAAAGCGAGCGAGUCCCGGGCUUGGAAAUCGAGAUGAGGUUGAAUGUUCAAACUAAUAUCAAGCAAAUAAGAUCCAAAGCUAUAGCAACUAUUGAAAUCCUAAUAAUAAUACAAAUUUACUGAGAAACUACCCAAAUAAUAAUAGAAACUUACUACGGGUAGCGGCUCACGUUUGCAAGAGAGAACCAACUUCUAGUUGGUGACCGUGUCGUUUUCAAGGUCCUUCCCUCCACUAUGGUGCUGGUUGGCGUUUAUCGCCACAACCCAGCUACCUCACUGUGCUUCCUCCGGUGUUCGUCCACAUGAGGCCCACUAGCAGAGACCAAGAUCUGCCGUAGGUGGUACAGAAGCUUCAUAAUUUGGAGUUCCAAGGAAGAGAGGACAGUAUUAGGAAAUGAAAUGGUGUUAUUGACGCAAAGAAUAUCUGGGAUUGAGAAAUCUAAAGCCAAUGAGGGUAAAGAUAUUUAUGUUGCCCUUCCAAUACCUAUAAAUGAUGUCAUGCAAAUGGAGACAGAAGCUGGCGGAGCCCAAGUUCAAUCAGAGGUGGUACAAAAGCUUAACGAUGAGAUAAAGCUUCGUAAUGAGGAGUGGGAAGCGAAGGAUGAACUAUAAGGAAACUAAGAAAUGAAAGAUUGUUAUCGGAGCAAAGGAUAUCUGGAUUUGUGAAAACUCAAGCCGAUAAGAUUGAUUUUCUAGAGAGAAAAUUCAGCAAGAAUUAGCUGUUGCUGAUUUUUACUCUUGCCAUGAAGAACUCGAGGGGUUGUUUGGCACGGCGGACUGUCAUAGAAUGGACUAAGUCCUGAGACUGUCUUGGAUUAGCUCGGAUUGGCUUAAGCUGGAUUAAGUACUUACCUACGUUUGGUUGUCUCCAAUGCUUAAUUUUGUGAUCAAUUACUAAUUUUAGGACGUUAAAUUUUGGAAAUAUUUCAAAGAGACAUUGAUAUAUAUAUAUAUAU